ACGGAGGGUGCGAGCGUUAUUCGGAAUUACUGGGCGUAAAGGGCGCGUAGGCGGCCGAAUUUGUCCGAUGUGAAAGCCCGGGGCUUAACCUCGGAAGUGCAUUGGAAACGGUUCGGCUUGAGUGUCGGAGAGGGUGGGGGAAUUCCCGGUGUAGAGGUGAAAUUCGUAGAGAUCGGGAGGAAUACCAGUGGCGAAGGCGCCCACCUGGACGAUGACUGACGCUGAGGCGCGAAAGCGUGGGGAGCAAACAG
rnacentral:rRNA from 1 species